AUUGAACGCUGGCGGCAGGCCUAACACAUGCAAGUCGAGCGGGGUUUUCGGACCUAGCGGCGGACGGGUGAGUAAUGCGUAGGAAGCUGCCCGAUAGAGGGGGAUACCAGUUGGAAACGACUGUUAAUACCGCAUAAUGUCUACGGACCAAAGUGUGGGACCUUCGGGCCACAUGCUAUCGGAUGCGCCUACGUGGGAUUAGCUAGUUGGUGAGGUAAUGGCUCACCAAGGCGACGAUCUCUAGCUGGUUUGAGAGGACGAUCAGCCACACGGGAGCGGAGACACGGGCCAGACUCCUACGGGAGGAAGCAGUGGGGAAUAUUGGACAAUGGGGGCAAGCCUGAUCCAGCCAUGCCGCGUGUGUGAAGAAGGCCUUCGGGUUGUAAAGCACUUUCAGCGAGGAGGAAGGGGUGUGUGUUAAUAGUACACACCUUUGACGUUACUCGCAGAAGAAGCACCGGCUAACUCUGUGCCAGCAGCCGCCGUAACAC
rnacentral:rRNA from 1 species